GACUAAAUUUACCAUCUAUCUGUGCGAAAUCGAUUGUCCAAGCAUAGAAGACAUUGACGAAAAUGUCAACAGGAUUACGACUGCACUGGUGGGGUCCUUCGAAGAUAGGUGUCCUCUUCGGGAAAAGAAAUCAGCCCAAGAAAAACCCUGGAUGACCGGGGAGAUUCGCAAAAUUGGGAAAGAGGUCCGCAGACUUUUUAACAGAGCGCGUCGUAAAAAAGCGGAAGUUUAUUGGGAUGUGUAUUACCCACGGCUCAGGGAAUACAAUAAGAUAACCAGAGCGGCAAAAUGUGCCUCCUGGAAGCUUUUCCGCGAAUAAGUCGAAAGCGUUAAUGACGCCGCCAAGAUAAAAAAAUUUCCCUCAAAAACCCAUGUCCAAAACGAAACUUUAGUAGACGACAUGGGAGUGAGAGCAGAGACAAUGGAGGACAUGUUGAGGCUUUUGAUGAAAACCCAUUUUCCACAGCAUACGACGGGACUCACGGAGACACCGGAAUCUUGGAAUAAUGACGUUGAUCGAAGGUUUAUAAUAAAGGAAUUUAUGGUGAAGGAAUCCUUGAGGAGCUUCAAAGCAUUUAAGUGACCCGGACCCGAUGGAAUAUUUCCGGCGUCACUACAGAAGGGCAGACUAUCUGGCGCCUCGUCUGGCCAAAAUGUUUACAGCGUGAAAUGGUGUGUGCUAACGCGAGGACGUCGAGUAUGAACAUCUUUACCGACGGUAAAAUUGCCAUAAAGGCAAUAACAACAAGGGCGAACAGUCUUGCAGUGUAAGAAGAAGAUUAACGCCUUCUCCGAGGAUGGCAAAAUCCGCAUCGUUUGGGUGCCGGUCAUAACGGAGUAAGGGGAAAUGAAAGGAAAGACGAUUUGGCGGUGAAGACCAGAGGACUGCCGUCAAUAAACGAUCCAGAUCGCGAGAAGACAAGGCUAUUACUGAAAAGAAGAAAGAAGAAGGUCAAUAUAGCUAUUGGUAUCAAAACGGGACACAUAGGACUACGAGCUCAUUUAUGUAAAAUCGGUGUGGCAAGUAAUAAUACCGGCACUUGGGUGGAGACACAAUACCAUACAUAAACCAGCUUAGGGGAGUUGUGUUGAAAGCAAUUAAGGAUUUUGCUUGCCUGAUAACGCUGCCGGUACAUACUCCUCUGUCUCCUUCGUCUUGCACUGGAUCAUUUUCUCGGUCUGUCUGUGAGCUUAACAAAGCCAACGCUCACUUUUGCUGUCAUCCCAAUGCCCUCAUCUCUCGAUUCGGCUGCGAUUACUGUUUCAUUGACACAGUCGCUGUCUGAAUCCGAGUCAGAAACUCCACCUUUUCUUAAAGGCUGGGGACGAUCUGUGCAUCCCUCUGGUUUAUCCGUCUCUUCCUCAUUUAUUAGUCUGACAACUAGUUGUGCGCUUGAAGCAUUACUCUCAACUACAGGUGCCAAGGCACCCACAUCUUUAGGAGGGGAGGACAACAGGCUGCGGUCUGACGCCACCACCGCAGAUGUUGAGUCUUUGGAGUUCAUUUCUAGCCUACUCCAAAAGGCUUUAAAAUUUUUUCGUAAUAAGUAGUACCUAUUCCGAGAUACGAAUAUAUAUUUAUUUUUUCUUUGAGCGAAAUAAAACACGUCCGCUUUACUCAACGGCUACAAUCA